rnacentral:rRNA from 1 species
UACGAAGGGUGCAAGCGUUAGUCGGAAUUACUGGGCGUAAAGCGUGCGUAGGUGGUUUCUUAAGUCCGUUGUGAAAGCCCUGGGCUCAACCUGGGAACUGCAGUGGAUACUGAGAGGCUAGAGUGUGUCAGAGGAUGGUGGAAUUCCCGGUGUAGCGGUGAAAUGCGUAGAUAUCGAGAGGAACACCUGCGGCGAAGGCGGGUUGCUGGGCCGACACUGACGCUGAUGCGCGAAAGCCAGGGGAGCGAACGGG